rnacentral:rRNA from 1 species
UACGAAGGGGGCUAGCGUUGCUCGGAAUGACUGGGCGUAAAGGCGCGUAGGCGGUUUGUACAGUCAGGUGUGAAAUUCCCGGGCUCAACCUGGGGGCUGCACUUGAUACGUAUGGACUGGAGUGGGGAAGAGGGUCGUGGAAUUCCCAGUGUAGAGGUGAAAUUCGUAGAUAUUGGGAAGAACACCGGUGGCGAAGGCGGCGACCUGGUCCUUGACUGACGCUGAGGCGCGAAAGCGUGGGAGCAACAG